rnacentral:rRNA from 1 species
UACGGAGGGUGCAAGCGUUAUCCGGAUUUACUGGGUUUAAAGGGUGCGUAGGUGGGCAGGUAAGUCAGUGGUGAAAUCUCCGGGCUUAACCCGGAAACUGCCAUUGAUACUAUCUGUCUUGAAUUAUCUGGAGGUGAGCGGAAUAUGUCAUGUAGCGGUGAAAUGCGUAGAUAUCGCUUGGAACGCCGACGGUGAAAAACAGCUCGCUGGGGGGUCUUUCUGACGCUGAGACACGAAAAGCCAGGGGAGCGAACGGG